GUAAAAGUCGUAACAAGGUUUCCGUAGGUGAACCUGCGGAAGGAUCAUUAUUGAAAUAAACCUGAUAAGUUGCUGCUGGUUCUCUAGGGAGCAUGUGCACACUUGUCAUCUUUGUAUCUUCACCUGUGCACCUUUUGUAGACCUAAAUAUCUCUCUGAAUGCUUUAGCAUUCAGGAUUGAGGAUUGACUUUCUGUCUCUUCCCACAUUUUUAGGUCUAUGUUUCUUCAUAUACCCUAAUGUAUGUCUAUAGAAUGUAAUUAAUGGGCCUUUGUGUCUAUAAAUUUAUACAACUUUCAGCAACGGAUCUCUUGGCUCUCGCAUCGAUGAAGAACGCAGCGAAAUGCGAUAAGUAAUGUGAAUUGCAGAAUUCAGUGAAUCAUCGAAUCUUUGAACGCACCUUGCGCUCCUUGGUAUUCCGAGGAGCAUGCCUGUUUGAGUGUCAUUAAUAUAUCAACCUCUUUGGUUGGAUGUGGGUUUGCUGGCCUUUUGAAGGUCAGCUCCUCUUAAAUGCAUUAGCUGACAAUAUUUUGCCAACUGUUCAUUGGUGUGAUAAUUAUCUACACUAUUGAUGUGAAGCAAAGGUUCAGCUUCUAACAGUCCAUUGACUUGGACAAAUUAAUUUUUUAUUAUUAAUGUGACCUCAAAUCAGGUAGGACUACCCGCUGAACUUAAGCAUAUCAAUAAGCGGAGGAAAAGAAACUAACAAGGAUUCCCCUAGUAACUGCGAGUGAAGCGGGAAAAGCUCAAAUUUAAAAUCUGGCGGUCUUUGGCUGUCCGAGUUGUAAUCUAGAGAAGCAUUAUCCGCGCUGGACCGUGUACAAGUCUCCUGGAAUGGAGCGUCAUAGAGGGUGAGAAUCCCGUCUUUGACACGGACUGCCAGGGCUUUGUGAUGUGCUCUCAAAGAGUCGAGUUGUUUGGGAAUGCAGCUCAAAAUGGGUGGUAAAUUCCAUCUAAAGCUAAAUAUUGGCGAGAGACCGAUAGCGAACAAGUACCGUGAGGGAAAGAUGAAAAGAACUUUGGAAAGAGAGUUAAACAGUACGUGAAAUUGCUGAAAGGGAAACGCUUGAAGUCAGUCGCGUUGUCCAGGAAUCAACUCUUGCUUUUGCUUGGUGUAUUUUCUGGUUAACGGGUCAGCAUCAGUUUUGACUAUUGGAAAAAGAUCAAGGGAAUGUGGCAUCUUCGGAUGUGUUAU
rnacentral:rRNA from 1 species